GGGUAGGUACCGAAGUGGUCAAACGGGGCAGACUGUAAAUCUGCUGGCUAUACCUUCAGAGGUUCGAAUCCUCUCCUGCCCA
rnacentral:tRNA from 1 species